AAAAUGGGCCAGCAUCCCCGUGGAACGCUUUCGACACCUUGUAGAGUCCAUUCCCCGACAAAUUGAGACUGUUCUGAGGGCAAAAGGGGGUACAACUUAAUAUUAAAGUGUUGUUUUAUAUACUUUUGUACACAAAAUACUGUAUAUAGUUAUAGAUAGGCUAGACUGCAUUGUCUGCAUAAUAGUAAUUUGUGAAGAUUGUAGCUAUAGCCUACCAGAUUCCUUAAUUUCUUUCUACCAACAGGAAAUAAUGGUUAGUACAGCAUGCCAAACUGACCCCUGGGUGUCAGAGUGUUCCUGUGCUGCGGUGGAGAAGAGGUUCACCGGAGCCAUCACUAAAGAGCUCGAGGCCUAGCUAAAUUGCGUUCACCAUAAUCAGUAUGCAACCGAGUCCCGCCACAGAUGGAGCUGACAGAGAGAGCGAGUGAGAUGAGGGAAGACCAGGAUUCGCUGUAUGAAACUGAGAGCUCAGAAUUACAAUCAUCACAGUGCGAGCGAGCCAUGAGAUACUAUCGAAGAGUAUGUGCAAGAUCCGAAAUAUAGCAUGCUGAAGGAGUUGUUCAUGAGCCAGGAUGUCGAGCAGGUGUCAUCAGUUCAUCCCUGAAAAUAAAUUGUUUUUCCAUCACCAUGGAGACCAUCGAGUGUGUUGUGGACCACAGGAGGAAGUUGGAGUCCCAGACCAGAGUGGGAAAUGUUUGCAGGGAAUCUGUUGGUGCCAUCACCGGUCUUCCUAACUGGCGGCUCCCACUCCACAUUUGUAGAAACAUGUUGCCUCCUCAGCCUGGUGUCCAUGUCGCUGCGACAGUUUGCAAACCAACCUUGCAUCUACAUUGUGCCAGAGGUUAAACAUGUGGGCCCAGCACACAGAGGCGAGUCUGGCUAGAAUUGGUGACAGUCCACUGAUUGUAUGUGGAGAUGCACGGCGUGAUUCGCCAGGCCACUGUGUCUUCUUUGGCACUUACACCGUCCUGGGCUCUGCUUCCCACCUGAUCCUGCCCAGGAGACUUUGCAUGUGACUGAAUUGAAGAAUGGCUACUGGUUGGACAGAGGGACAGAGGGAUUAGUGAGAUGCCUGCAAACACAUGAUUUAUUUUAUUAACCAUUGAGAUAGAACUCUUUUACAAGAGAGCCCUGUAUACGUUUACAAAUAAAGCACAGUACAUACAUAAAACACAACAGCCCAACCAAAUGCAUUAUAGUAAAACACAUAAUACACAACAUUAAACCUAUUUAAGAAAAGCAAUCGCAAUGCUGAAACAUAAAAGUUAUUUUAAAAUCCUUUUGAGGUAAGCUAUAGCCUCACCUACAUUUUUGUAGCUAGCCUCAGGGUUGUAAGUGUGUAUUUGGUGGAUGUACGAAGAUCACUUAGGCCACUUUUUUUAGUAAUAAUGCUUUUAUUAUUUUCCUUAACUGGCCCAUGGAUGCAGCAUUGAAACCCUGGCCACUGACAGGUGUCCACAUGUGAGGGUGCACUUGAGGGCAUGAGCUUUGGCACAUUGCCAAAGGUGCGAGGAAGAAGCUGGUGGCCACCGGGAAGCCAGAGGUACUGCCAUGGAAGAGGGCAUUAACACACCACUUGUGGUACUGUGAUGCCACUGUUGGUGGGAGUGUCCAGGUGCUGAAAGAAAAGUGGAUCACCACAGUUCGCCCUAUUACAAGUGAGCACCAGUGGGUCACUGGAGAUACACUCGACUGCUGUGAGCACCUUCACACCUGAAGAAGGAACACCUCAUCCUCAACCCGAGAUUGUUGAAGGAUCUCGAAAGUGACGAAGUGUGUUCAGACAGGUGAACUUUAGAGUGUACAUGCCCUGUACACUAAAUACGUGCCCAGGAGGAACACGUUCGGCCUACAGGGGAUGUCGCAAGACUCCAAGUGGCUGCCUUAGACCACAAUCAUUCGGUGGACAGACAUCAGGCUACAACACAUGAGGGAGUGCUCCGUUUCAAGCAAGAGUUCUCCAAGGCUGCCAGGGCGUUUGUGGUGAAACCCAUGGUGUUUCAGGUCUGAGCUUCUAGACUGCUUCGUUGACCGCAGUGCCAAUGGACCAUCCCAGCGGACUCUCCUGAGUGCCCAAAGAGAGAGAGUGGCAGUCACCUUGGGAAAGCGGACUGGUGUUCCAAAAAUGGAGAAGGAGCAGGCCAUUCAACAGCGAAUUCAAAGAUACACCCAUCCAUAGAGGGAAUCUGAGUGGAAUGGCUUUUCCACAGAUUCUUUUGACCUGUUAAACAGAUGUGCUUCCUUGUCUCGGACCUGCUGUUUCGACUCUCUCUCCUAGACCUGCUGUCUCGACUCUCUCUUCCGGACCUGCUGUCUCUACUCUCUCUCUCGGACCUGCUGUCUCGACUCUCUCCCGGACCUGCUGUCUCGACUCUCUCUCCCGGACCUGCUGUCUCGACUCUCUCUCCCGGACCUGCUGUCUCGACUCUCUCUCCCGGACCUGCUGUCUCGACUCUCUCUCCCGGACCUGCUGUUUCGACUCUCUCUCCCGGACAUGCUGUCUCAACUCUCUCUCCCAGACCUGCUGUCUCGACCCUCUCUCCCGGACAUGCUGUCUCGACUCUCUCUCUCGGACCUGCUGU